AUACCGUCUGCCUCCUAACAACAUGGAAACAUGCGUCGUGUCCCUUUCCCUGAUGACACUAGCGCUAAUCUGAGCUGCUAGUCUGCAAGGACUGCUCCACGAAGAGCGUGGCGUCCGUCUCCGCUGCUGACACCCCAGGCUUCUCAUCCGUGGACCGACACCGUCCAAACUCCUGGCCUGGCACGUCGUCAACACCUCUGCUUACAGUCACCAACCAACUAGGAGACCACUUCCUGCACUAGCCACGUAUCUAACCCAGAGGCUCCUACCCAUCAGGAAGUCUCAUCAGCCUUUGAAAAAAAACAUCAUUGGGAUUUUCAUAGAGAAUGCAUUAAACCUGUAGAUUGCUUCAGGUAGAGUGGGAGGAAGAGAGAGGAAGAGAGAGAGAGAAAAACACCGAC